rnacentral:lncRNA from 1 species
CGCUGCCUGGCGGGGUUCUUGUCAGUUAGCAACAAAAUGGCCGCGGUGGCAGCAGCUCUGCUCCCGAGGACGGCGGCGGCGUCCGUGGCGGCGGCGGUGGCGGCGGCGGCGAGGCGGAGCGGGGGACCGGCCCGGCGGCACUGAGCCUGGCACCGCCUGCCCGCGAGCGGACGAGCCGAGAGCGAGCGGGAGAGACGGAGAGAGGCGCUGCGGGCCCCCCCGCGCCCUACGCCAGCCUCCGCCGGCGAGACCGACCGACCGACCCUGCCCGCGACGCUGCUGCGGCCCCUGGGGAGCCGCUGCCGCCCCCGCCUGCCGCCUCCCCCCGGGGGCACAGGCGCCCGGCUCCCGGCCCCCGCCGCCGCAGCCCCCCCGAGAGGCUCUGCCGGCUCCCGCGGAGGAGACGGCGGGAGCCCGCGGGGUCUCUGCUGCUGCCCCCGGAUCCCCCCCGAGAGCGCGGCAGGCAGGCAGGCAGACAGACAGACAGACAGACUGACUGUUGGGUUUCCCCACUCCCCCCUUCGGGUCCCCGUGCCCCCCUCCCCGUGAAAGACUCUGCUGGAUCCUCCUCCUCGGAUCCCCUCCCCGCGCUCGCUCCUUCCUGCGGGAGAGACUGCUGGAUCCUCCUCCUGCGAGAGAGGCUGCUGGAUCGCUUCGCCCGGGUCCCUGCGAGAGAGGCUGCUGGAUCCUCCUCCUGUGAGGGACUGCUGCGGGUCCUCCCCCUCCGCGGAUCUCCCCAUGCUCCUCCAUGUGGACUGAGAAUCCAUCAAGGCACGCACACGAGAACUCAUCCCGGUCAACUCCAGAUCCUGGCUUUCGUGGGCUUUGCUGCAACACAUAAAGCAAACUUGUAUUUAAGACACACAGUCGUGCAAAAAUUUAGCUGGGGACUUAAGCAAGACUGAAUCGAAAGCUGCCAAAGAGCCCCAUAAAGAAAAGACUAAAAG